GAACGGGUGAGUAACACGUGAGUAACCAUGCCCUUAACUCUGGGAUAAGCCUGGGAAACUGGGUCUAAUACCGGAUAGGAGCGUCCACCGCAUGGUGGGUGUUGGAAAGAUUUAUCGGUUUUGGAUGGACUCGCGGCCUAUCAGCUUGUUGGUGAGGUAAUGGCUCACCAAGGCGACGACGGGUAGCCGGCCUGAGAGGGUGACCGGCCACACUGGGACUGAGACACGGCCCAGACUCCUACGGGAGGCAGCAGUGGGGAAUAUUGCACAAUGGGCGCAAGCCUGAUGCAGCGACGCCGCGUGAGGGAUGACGGCCUUCGGGUUGUAAACCUCUUUCAGUAGGGAAGAAGCGAAAGUGACGGUACCUGCAGAAGAAGCACCGGCUAACUACGUGCCAGCAGCCGCGGUAAUACGUAGGGUGCGAGCGUUAUCCGGAAUUAUUGGGCGUAAAGAGCUCGUAGGCGGUUUGUCGCGUCUGUCGUGAAAGUCCGGGGCUUAACCCCGGAUCUGCGGUGGGUACGGGCAGACUAGAGUGCAGUAGGGGAGACUGGAAUUCCUGGUGUAGCGGUGGAAUGCGCAGAUAUCAGGAGGAACACCGAUGGCGAAGGCAGGUCUCUGGGCUGUAACUGACGCUGAGGAGCGAAAGCAUGGGGAGCGAACAGGAUUAGAUACCCUGGUAGUCCAUGCCGUAAACGUUGGGCACUAGGUGUGGGGACCAUUCCACGGUUUCCGCGCCGCAGCUAACGCAUUAAGUGCCCCGCCUGGGGAGUACGGCCGCAAGGCUAAAACUCAAAGGAAUUGACGGGGGCCCGCACAAGCGGCGGAGCAUGCGGAUUAAUUCGAUGCAACGCGAAGAACCUUACCAAGGCUUGACAUGUUCUCGAUCGCCGUAGAGAUACGGUUUCCCCUUUGGGGCGGGUUCACAGGUGGUGCAUGGUUGUCGUCAGCUCGUGUCGUGAGAUGUUGGGUUAAGUCCCGCAACGAGCGCAACCCUCGUUCCAUGUUGCCAGCACGUAAUGGUGGGGGACUCAUGGGAAGACUGCC
rnacentral:rRNA from 1 species